rnacentral:rRNA from 1 species
GCAAGUCGAGCGGUAACAUUUCUAGCUUGCUAGAGGAUGACGAGCGGCGGACGGGUGAGUAAUGCUUGGGAAUAUGCCUUAUGGUGGGGGACAACAGUUGGAAACGACUGCUAAUACCGCAUAACGUCUACGGACCAAAGGGGGGGAUCUUCGGACCUCUCGCCAUUUGAUUAGCCCAAGUGAGAUUAGCUAGUUGGUAAGGUAAUGGCUUACCAAGGCGACGAUAAGUAGCCGGCCUGAGAGGGUGACC